CAUGCACACGCAUGUCCAUACAGCGCAGCCACACACCCCCUUCCAAUGAGAUCCCGUUCCGCCGCAGCCCGUCCAAGCCCCUUUCCUCCUGCCGCACUCGUACAGACACUUUUCCAGCCGUGCACCUCAGGACCCAGACGUCCCAGCUGCUCAUAGGAACCAGACAGGACUCGCACCCUCAACCCUCAGACACACUGCACCAUGUCGGACUCCGAGACCGCCGCCGCCCCCGCCGAGGCCCCCGUCCCUGCUGCAUGUGCCGGCAUCAAGGCUGACCUGGACAAAUGUGUUGCAGAGAAAGGCGUGGAGGGCUGCCAGGAGCUGCUGGAGGCCUUCGCUGCCUGCGUGAAGAGCGCGGCCGAGGCCACGUCCUGAGGAGCCGCCUCACGCCUCCCAUGUCAGGAUCGCCCAUUACUUGGUCCACUGCACUGACUCCUCCAGGUUCCCAGCAUUCCCUUCUGCACAACAGCACCGGACUGAAUGAUGACAACAACAACGAUGAAGAUGAUGAUGAUGGUUCAUGCCCUGUUGAUUCAGGCUACAUUUGGGAUCUGGCAGCAAUAACCACAGCCCCCCCCCCCCCCCCCCCCCCCUCCUGUUAUAGGCUUUACUGGUGUCCCUCAGUCUUACCCCCCUCCCCCCUCUCCCUCUUUGGCUGAUAUACAGAACAUCGACUUGUCGCUUCCAGAGAGCCGAUGGGCUGUGAUGUAAUAUUGCCGACUUGAACUUAUAAAUGGAAAUAAAAGUAUGAAAUAUU